CUGAUAGUCAAUUAGCCAUCUACUAUCCUAGAUUUUUGCUCUGAGUUGUAUGCUGCAAAUAACUAGUCAAUUGUGCUAUCUGAAAGAUAUAGUUUUGGGUGGGCUUCUUCAGCUAUCAGCAGAGAGGUCAGGGAGCAGGGAACUAGUUUUUGAUGGACCAACUCCCUCACCACGUACAUAUUUAUGUUAAUUGUUUUGUUAAUAAAUUGUGCACGAAACACCUUUACUUGACCUCAUAGAGGCAUCUACUACACCUACUGGCCACUCGCAGCUGCCAUUGCCGCUAUAGAGGAGCUAUUAUUUCUGAUCAUUCUUAUUGGCAAGCUAGAUCUGUCUUUCUUUUUACUGGGAAUUAUAUUGUAUGAUUGCCUACCUUCCAGCGCAAUCUAGUUCGUUAUUUCAAAUUUUUGUCAAACUACAAAUGCAGGAAAAGGUACCUCAAUUCAGGUCAAGCCUCUCCUCUGCAUGUUUUACAAUCCAGUAACCCACUGAGCAUGAUCAAGAAGCUUUCGGCUCGAUAACAUCCGCAGGCCUUCAUCAUGAUAUAUGCAUGCCUAGUGUUUAUUGUUUUGUACUUCUAUUUUUGUUUACCCCAUGCACAAAUGCAUGGGUGUGUUAUGUAUUGAAGCUCCAUGCACAAAUUAAAUAAAACAUUAUCGUAAAUCACAGAUAAGGCGCAUUGACGCUCGUUCUAUU